AGCGAACGCUGGCGGCAGGCCUAACACAUGCAAGUCGAACGAACCUUUCGGGGUUAGUGGCGGACGGGUGAGUAACACGUGGGAACGUGCCUUUAGGUUCGGAAUAACGCAGGGAAACUUGUGCUAAUACCGAAUGUGCCCUUCGGGGGAAAGGUUUAUCGCCUUUAGAGCGGCCUGCGUCUGAUUAGCUAGUUGUUUGAGGUAAUGGCUCACCAAGGCGACGAGCAGUAGCUGGUCUGAGAGGAUGAUCAGCCACAUUGGGACUGAGACACGGCCCAAACUCCUACGGGAAGCAGCAGUGGGGAAUCUUGCGCAAUGGGCGAAAGCCUGACGCAGCCAUGACGCGUGAAUGAUGAAGGUCUUAGGAUUGUAAAAUUCUUUCACCGGGGACGAUAAUGACGUUACCCGGAGAAGAAGCCCCGGCUAACUUCGUG
rnacentral:rRNA from 1 species